UCCAAGAAACUUAAUGGUGGUAGUCUUUCACUCUAUAGUGUUUGAUGGUAAGCUCCGCUCAGAGGUGGAGAAUGCCUUUGAUGAAGAACAGGCUGUCUUCAGCCAUGAAGGAUGUCCAUGGUACAGCAAACGGGUUCUGGUAUCCA